rnacentral:rRNA from 1 species
CGAGCGGUAAGGCCCUUCGGGGUACACGAGCGGCGAACGGGUGAGUAACACGUGAGCAACCUGCCCCUGACUCUGGGAUAAGCGGUGGAAACGCCGUCUAAUACCGGAUACGACCCGCCACCUCAUGGUGGAGGGUGGAAAGUUUUUCGGUCAGGGAUGGGCUCGCGGCCUAUCAGCUUGUUGGUGGGGUAACGGCCUACCAAGGCGAUUACGGGUAGCCGGCCUGAGAGGGCGACCGGCCACACUGGGACUGAGACACGGCCCAGACUCCUGCGGGAGGCAGCAGUGGGGAAUAUUGCGCAAUGGGCGAAAGCCUGACGCAGCGACGCCGCGUGGGGGAUGACGGCCUUCGGGUUGUAAACCUCUUUUACCACCAACGCAGGCUUCCAGUUCUCUGGAGGUUGACGGUAGGUGGGGAAUAAGGACCGGCUAACUACGUGCCAGCAGCCGCGGUAAUACGUAGGGUCCGAGCGUUGUCCGGAAUUAUUGGGCGUAAAGAGCUCGUAGGCGGCGUGUCGCGUCUGCUGUGAAAGACCGGGGCUUAACUCCGGUUCUGCAGUGGAUACGGGCAUGCUAGAGGUAGGUAGGGGAGACUGGAAUUCCUGGUGUAGCGGUGAAAUGCGCAGAUAUCAGGAGGAACACCGGUGGCGAAGGCGGGUCUCUGGGCCUUACCUGACGCUGAGGAGCGAAAGCAUGGGGAGCGAACAGGAUUAGAUACCCUGGUAGUCCAUGCCGUAAACGUUGGGCGCUAGGUGUGGGGACUUUCCACGGUUUCCGCGCCGUAGCUAACGCAUUAAGCGCCCCGCCUGGGGAGUACGGCCGCAAGGCUAAAACUCAAAGGAAUUGACGGGGGCCCGCACAAGCGGCGGAGCAUGUUGCUUAAUUCGACGCAACGCGAAGAACCUUACCAAGGUUUGACAUCACCCGUGGACUCGCAGAGAUGUGAGGUCAUUUAGUUGGCGGGUGACAGUGGUGCAUGGGCUGUCGUCAGCUCGUGUCGUGAGAUGUUGGGUUAAG